UACGUAGGGGGCUAGCGUUGUCCGGAAUCAUUGGGCGUAAAGCGCGCGUAGGCGGCCCGGUAAGUCCGCUGUGAAAGUCCAGGGCUCAACCCUGGAAAGCCGGUGGAUACUGCCGGGCUAGAGUCCGGGAGAGGCGAGUGGAAUCCUGGUGUAGCGGUGGAAUGCGCAGAUAUCAGGAGGAACACCUAAGGCGAAGGCAGCUCGCUGGAACGGUACUGACGCUGAGGCGCGAAGCGUGGGGAGCGAACAGG
rnacentral:rRNA from 1 species